CAUCAUCCGAUGCUUGAUGCCAGGGCCGGUGAACAAGUUCUCCAAUGAGCUGUCUGGAGCUCGUGACGUAGCCUGGGAGAUGUUUCGGAUGAGUCAAAAAUGUUUAAGUUUUAAAUUCAUGAUAUAUUUGUAUGCUACUUAUUAAUACAUGCUUCGAUUCUAUCUUGAAGAAGUACUAUCGAUUUGAGACUUCCCAGAAUGAGGAGGUUG
rnacentral:lncRNA from 1 species